rnacentral:rRNA from 1 species
GGACUGCCGGCGACAAGUCGGAGAAGUGGGGAUGACGUCAAAUCAUCAUGCCCCUUAUGACCUGGGCUACACACGUGCUACAAUGGGCGGUACAAAGGGUAGCGAUGCCGCGAGGCGAAGCCAAUCCCAAAAAGCCGUCCUCAGUUCGGAUUGGAGUCUGCAACUCGACUCCAUGAAGCCGGAAUCGCUAGUAAUCGCGGAUCAGCAUGCCGCGGUGAAUACGUUCCCGGGCCUU